UGGGGAAUAUUGCACAAUGGGGGAAACCCUGAUGCAGCGACGCCGCGUGAAGGAAGAAGUAUUUCGGUAUGUAAACUUCUAUCAGCAGGGAAGAAAAUGACGGUACCUGACUAAGAAGCCCCGGCUAACUACGUGCCAGCAGCCGCGGUAAUACGUAGGGGGCAAGCGUUAUCCGGAUUUACUGGGUGUAAAGGGAGCGUAGACGGUUGUGUAAGUCAGAUGUGAAAGCCCGGGGCUCAACCCCGGGACUGCAUUUGAAACUGUGCAACUAGAGUGUUGGAGAGGUAAGUGGAAUUCCUAGUGUAGCGGUGAAAUGCGUAGAUAUUAGGAGGAACACCAGUGGCGAAGGCGAC
rnacentral:rRNA from 1 species